AACAAGUUUUUAUGCACUGCUGCUGUUAUUAGACGGGUUUGUGAUCAGAGACUUUUAUAUUUAAAAGCAUUAUUUCGUUGUUUUAAGUACUCUAGCCGUUUAUAUACGGUACGAUUAAAUAGUUUUUAAUGUUUAGCCUUGUACUUUAAUAUGAUUCUUGUUGAUAUUUCAGAAAAAUAUGAACGCUCCUCCAACUUUCGAGUCAUUCAUUUUAUUCGAGGGCGAAAAGAAAGUCACUAUCGAGAAAGAUACAAAAGUACCGAACGCAGCUAUAUUCACAGUAAAUAAGGAAGAUCAUACUAUAGGAAAUAUCUUAAGAUGCCAAUUGCUUAAAGAUCCAAAGGUUUUAUUUGCCGGUUAUAAACAUCCGCAUCCUCUUGAGCAUAAAAUCGUUCUUCGGGUGCAGACAACACCUGAUACUACUCCUCAGAUAGCGUUGACUGAAGCUAUAACGGAUUUGAUAUCAGAGGUUUCGCUAUUAGAAGAAAGAUUCCGGGAUGCGAUAAGAGAAAAGAAAGAAAUUGAUUGAUAACUUCAUACAAACGGAAAUGGAAUUAUACGGGCGUGUCAAUCCGCUAAUUAUGCAAAUAAUCAGCUUUACUCUAGCGAAGGAGCGCGCGCCUUUAACGAGAUAAUCGGCUUAGAAACGUCGUUGUCCAAGUGUCGAAAGCUGCCGACGAAUUUUAAUCAUAAAGCUUGAAAAAUUGCAACAUUACUCCAAAAGUACACAUUCUUCCUGUCUUU
rnacentral:misc_RNA from 1 species